rnacentral:rRNA from 1 species
CCAAGGAGUCUAACAUGUGCGCGAGUCAUGGGGUCUUACGAAACCUAAAGGCGAAAUGAAAGUGAAGGCCUGCCUCUCGGUGAGCCUAGGUAGGAUGCCGUCCUCCGGGGCGGUCGCACUACCGGCCCGUCUCGUCCGCAGCGUCGGUGAGGCGGAGCAAGAGCGUGCACGUUGGGACCCGAAAGAUGGUGAACUAUGCCUGAGUAGGUCGAAGCCAGAGGAAACUCUGGUGGAGGACCGUAGCGAUUCUGACGUGCAAAUCGAUCGUCAAACUUGGGUAUAGGGGCGAAAGACUAAUCGAACCAUCUA